GAUGAACGCUGGCGGCGUGCCUAAUACAUGCAAGUCGAGCGAACAGACGAGGAGCUUGCUCCUCUGACGUUAGCGGCGGACGGGUGAGUAACACGUGGAUAACCUACCUAUAAGACUGGGAUAACUUCGGGAAACCGGAGCUAAUACCGGAUAAUAUAUUGAACCGCAUGGUUCAAUAGUGAAAGACGGUUUUGCUGUCACUUAUAGAUGGAUCCGCGCCGCAUUAGCUAGUUGGUAAGGUAACGGCUCACCAAGGCAACGAUGCGUAGCCGACCUGAGAGGGUGAUCGGCCACACUGGAACUGAGACACGGUCCAGACUCCUACGGGAGGCAGCAGUAGGGAAUCUUCCGCAAUGGGCGAAAGCCUGACGGAGCAACGCCGCGUGAGUGAUGAAGGUCUUCGGAUCGUAAAACUCUGUUAUUAGGGAAGAACAAAUGUGUAAGUAACUACGCACGUCUUGACGGUACCUAAUCAGAAAGCCACGGCUAACUACGUG
rnacentral:rRNA from 1 species